CAGGGUCUCACUCCAUCAGGACAUGGAAAAACCAAAACCCUUUCAGGAGGAGAAAGUGGGUGUUGUGAGCCUGGGUGUGUACAAAGGAAGAGGUGAUUUUUUUUUCAAUAAAAAUAGUUCAGUGUGGACAGAACUGAUUUAAGAACUUGUAUGGCUGGAGGGAAGGCCUGGUAUGGAAGUCUCCAUGAGAUAUUUGCCCUUGUUUGCUAACAUUAUUAUUAUUUUUAUUUUGUCUAGGAUCUUCUAGCUUUAAACACACCCACCACUUGGAGGGAAGCAAAAAUUCCAAAGAACACAGUUUGGGAAACACUGACCAGUAAGAAAGUCUCCAGUUUUGUGCCAGGAGCCUGUGAAGAGUCCCUCAUCCUAGCUACCUGGAAGCCGGUAUUCUGCUAGCAUCCUUCAGAUGAAGAUGUAGAACACUCAGCUCCUCCUGCAUCAUGCCUGCCUGGAUGCUGCCAUGUUCCCGCCUUGAUGAUACUGGAUUGAACCUCUGAACCUGUAUCUUCUCCACUUCCUUCCUUGUCCCCUCAAAGAUCUUGACUAACAUCAAGGCAACACCUUCUUUGUAGAUGGAAGAGCAGUUGGGCUGUCAGCUGCUCAAACCGUU
rnacentral:lncRNA from 1 species